rnacentral:rRNA from 1 species
GACGAACGCUGGCGGCGUGCUUAACACAUGCAAGUCGAGCGGAAAGGCCCUUCGGGGUACUCGAGCGGCGAACGGGUGAGUAACACGUGAGUAAUCUGCCUCUAGCUCUGGGAUAGCUCCGGGAAACCGGGAUUAAUACCGGAUACGACCACUCAAGACAUCUUCUGUGGUGGAAAGAAUUUCGGCUAGAGAUGAGCUCGCGGCCUAUCAGCUUGUUGGUGGGGUAACGGCCACCAAGGCGACGACGGUAGCCGGCCUGAGAGGGCGACCGGCCACACUGGGACUGAGACACGGCCCAGACUCCUACGGGAGGCAGCAGUGGGGAAUAUUGCGCAAUGGGCGAAAGCCUGACGCAGCGACGCCGCGGUGGGGAGUGAA